GACGAACGCUGGCGGCGUGCUUAACACAUGCAAGUCGAACGAUGAAGGAGAGCUUGCUCUCCGGAUUAGUGGCGAACGGGUGAGUAACACGUGACUAACCUGCCCCUUUCUCUGGGAUAACGCUCCGAAAGGAGUGCUAAUACCGGAUACGAGCCCUGAACACAUGUUCGGAGUUGAAAGUUUUUCGGAAAGGGAUGGAGUCGCGGCCUAUCAGCUUGUUGGUGAGGUAACGGCUCACCAAGGCGACGACGGGUAGCCGGCCUGAGAGGGCGACCGGCCAAACUGGGACUGAGACACGGCCCAGACUCCUACGGGAGGCAGCAGUGGGGAAUAUUGCACAAUGGGCGAAAGCCUGAUGCAGCGACGCCGCGUGAGGGAUGAAGGUCUUCGGAUUGUAAACCUCUUUCAGUAGGGACGAAGCGAAAGUGACAGUACCUAAAGAAGAAGCACCGGCUAACUACGUGCCAGCCGCCGCAGUAA
rnacentral:rRNA from 1 species